GAAUUGUUCGCAAUGGGCGCAAGCCUGACGACGCAACGCCGCGUGGAGGAUGAAGGUCUUCGGAUUGUAAACUCCUGUUGAUCGGGACGAACAACCAUCGGGAUAACACCCCGGAGGUCUGACGGUACCUACAGAAGAAGCCCCGGCCAACUACGUGCCAGCAGCCGCGGUAACACGUAGGGGGCGAGCGUUGUCCGGAUUUAUUGGGCGUAAAGAGCUCGUAGGCGGUUUCGUAAGUCGGAUGUGAAAACUCCAGGCUCAACUUGGAGACGCCAUUCGAUACUGCGAUGACUUGAGUCCGGUAGGGGAGUGUGGAAUUCCUGGUGUAGCGGUGAAAUGCGCAGAUAUCAGGAGGAACACCGGCGGCGAAGGCGGCACUCUGGGCCGGUACUGACGCUGAGGAGCGAAAGCGUGGGUAGCAAAC
rnacentral:rRNA from 1 species